AUUGAACGCUGGCGGCAGGCCUAACACAUGCAAGUCGAGCGGCAGCGGGAAAGUAGCUUGCUACUUUUGCCGGCGAGCGGCGGACGGGUGAGUAAUGCCUGGGAAAUUGCCCAGUCGAGGGGGAUAACAGUUGGAAACGACUGCUAAUACCGAAUACGCCCUACGGGGGAAAGCAGGGGACCUUCGGGCCUUGCGCGACUGGAUAUGCCCCGGUGGGAUUAGCUAGUUGGUGAGGUAAUGGCUCACCAAGGCGACGAUCCCUAGCUGGUCUGAGAGGAUGAUCAGCCACACUGGAACUGAGACACGGUCCAGACUCCUACGGGAGGCAGCAGUGGGGAAUAUUGCACAAGGGGGGAAACCCUGAUGCAGCCAUGCCGCGUGUGUGAAGAAGGCCUUCGGGUUGUAAAGCACUUUCAGCGAGGAGGAAAGGUUGAUGCCUAAUACGUAUCAACUGUGACGUUACUCGCAGAAGAAGCACCGGCUAACUCCGUGCCAGCAGCCGCCGUAA
rnacentral:rRNA from 1 species